rnacentral:rRNA from 1 species
UCCUCCCUCUGGCGGCGUGCCUAAUACAUGCAAGUAGAACGCACAGUUUAUACCGUAGCUUGCUACACCAUAGACUGUGAGUUGCGAACGGGUGAGUAACGCGUAGGUAACCUGCCUGGUAGCGGGGGAUAACUAUUGGAAACGAUAGCUAAUACCGCAUAAUAUUGAUUAUUGCAUGAUAAUUGAUUGAAAGAUGCUAUUGCAUCACUACCAGAUGGACCUGCGUUGUAUUAGCUAGUAGGUGAGGUAACGGCUCACCUAGGCGACGAUACAUAGCCGACCUGCGAGGGUGAUCGGCCACACUGGGACUGAGACACGGCCCAGACUCCUACGGGAGGCAGCAGUAGGGAAUCUUCGGCAAUGGACGAAAGUCUGACCGAGCAACGCCGCGUGAGUGAAGAAGGUUUUCGGAUCGUAAAGCUCGGUUGUAAGAGAAGAACGGGUGUGAGAGUGGAAAGUUCACACUGUGACGGUAUCUUACCAGAAAGGGACGGCUAACUACGUG